rnacentral:rRNA from 1 species
UACGUAGGGUGCAAGCGUUGUCCGGAAUUAUUGGGCGUAAAGGGCUCGUAGGCGGUCCAUCGCGUCGGGAGUGAAAAGGCUGGGGCCUUAACCCCAGUCCUGCUUCCGAUACGGGUGGACUAGAGGUAGGGCAGGGGAGAACGGAAUUCCUGGUGUAGCGGUGAAAUGCGCAGAUAUCAGGAGGAACACCGGUGGCGAAGGCGGUUCUCUGGAACGCAACUGACGCUGGAGAACGCGAAAGCGUGGGGAGCAAACAGG